AACACCAGCCACACACACACAAAAAAGAAAACGUUAUCGCCCUCGCAAGAUGCAUUUUUGACCAGUGGUAUACGCUGUCUGCCACGUACGAGCUUCCAGCAGUGAGUGUGCCACGUAAGAGCCAAGUGAUGUGAGUAUUUCAAACCAUUCUUGUGUUACAGUGUAUCUUAUAGCUAAAUGAAAUGCGGGCAUGUAUUUGUUUUAAAUUCUUUUUAUUGUUUCGCUCAGAUGAGACAGCAGAGACAUGGUAGCCUAUUUCGAAAGAGUGAUACCGUAACCGCUGUGCUUUCCAUUCCCAAUGAGUCUUGCAAUAUUGUACAUAUUGCCGGGACAUCGUUCUAUUACUUGCCUGGGUUCGAAGCUUAUUUCACAUAGCUUCGAGCACUCGAAGUUAUAAUAAUUGUGCGCGACAUUUGCUUCUUUCAAGCAAUGCCAUAGUUGACGUGUAUCAUUUUGCGACAGAUUUACUCCGUAUCUCGUCGGAUGACCAUUGCUGAGCCAAAGGCGUACGGCAGUUACUGCAGCUGGACAUCGGUGGACGUAGAUGUUAUGGUCAAUCUGAGUCACGGUAGUGCAUUUUCCCUGUUUCAGUGUUGGUUUUGUAAAUUCUGUUGUAGCUACGAAAACGAACAGGGAAACAGCACUCAGAAAGGACAAGGUGUAGCAGAACAUCUCCGGGCAUCUAUUUACCAUGACGACCUACAGUAAAAUGAGACAACUCGUCAUGGAUUUCAAUAUUUAUUGGUAUGAGGGCGGCGACAUUUUCCUUGGAUUUGAUGAUCCUGGGUAACGUCCCGCAUGCCGCACACAUCAUCACCCGAUUGGGACCAGGAAUCGCCAGCGUUGGCUGGCUGUUCGACAUCGGACCAGUGAUCGCCAGUCAUCUCGUCGUCGGUGGUGGCAGGUAGUUCUCCGGAACCCAAGUCCUUCUACGACUUCCAGAAGGUUGCAACAGCCGGUCCAACGUGUCCGAAGGAUCAUCGUCGUCAUCAUUGCAUCAGUGUACAAGUAAGCAUCAUGUCUUCGUCGAUCUUGCAUAAACUUGACAAGUUAAAGAAAUGUGGAGAGUUUAAAAAAAUGGCGACAAUUCCUAAAAACAUCAAGUAUGAUGUGGUUGAUGUUAACAAAAUUGAAACGAGGUAUGGCGAGGCGGUCUACGUAGAAAUUAUGAAGGAUCACGAGCACGUAAAGGUGUUCCUUCCAGCUCGGUUUCAUAAACUAAGCACUCAAGACAUCGAAGACAUGAGGAACACGAGCGGACUCUGGAUGGAGAAGAAAGAGCGAGUUGGAAAAGACGGGAAACGUCUUCUUUCGCCAGACAUCGUGUUCGGUCAAUCCGAGUAAAAAAAUAAAAAGAAAUGGUGACAUGCCACCUUUGUCCCCCGGCCGAUCGGCAGCACUACACAACAGCGCUGGGACUUCAAGUUCAUCUGGCUAACGUUCAUAACCUUGCAACACCCUGUAUCCCAUUUUGUGAGACACUCUGUACGCUCCGCAACUAUACCAACCGCUAUGAGCUUCAUCUACAUGACAGAGACGACGACGGGCAGGAUGUCAGCACAUUCUUUCAUGAAAACGGACGCUACCUUGCCGGUGUACUUCGACAUUUCGGAUUUCCGUUACGCUUUUAUGUUUUGCUGAAGGCGGAACUCGGUCGACAUACGCCUGAGGAUGAGAUCAUAUUUGUCACUCAAUUUAUUCCUUCGAGUGUGCAUACGCUGUGGUCGGAACGAGACGUAGAACGUGCUGUCAUUGAAGUAGGCACUGAAGUCACCAACAAUUUAGAAAAGCUUGAAAUGCAAGGGUCGGAAUUUUUCUUAUUUCGAAUUCACGCCUGCAUUCUUCAUGUCGGUCGUCUCGCACCACAGCUCAUUGGUUGUACCGACUUUGAAUUGCCAAACGAAUUGAAAAAAAAGUGUCGGUGUCUUCUGAGUGUCGACCUUCACGAGGAUAGUGAACAGAACAUGUGUUUCGCAUUUUGCGUACUUGCCGGUCUACAUCCUGCAAAGGGUUCUUACAGACGCAGAGCUUCAUCCUACAGGUCAUACCUGUCUCAAUAUGUAUUUCCAGAGACGUUUCCUGUAGUGUUCCCGAAAGAUGUAGAAAUGUUUGAGAAGCAGAACGAUGUGAGCAUUAACGUGUACGGUUAUGAC